rnacentral:rRNA from 1 species
AUGGCUCAGGACGAACGCUGGCGGCGUGCCUAAUACAUGCAAGUCGAGCGGACCGACGGGAGCUUGCUCCCUUAGGUCAGCGGCGGACGGGUGAGUAACACGUGGGUAACCUGCCUGUAAGACUGGGAUAACUCCGGGAAACCGGGGCUAAUACCGGAUGCUUGAUUGAACCGCAUGGUUCAAUCAUAAAAGGUGGCUUUUAGCUACCACUUACAGAUGGACCCGCGGCGCAUUAGCUAGUUGGUGAGGUAACGGCUCACCAAGGCGACGAUGCGUAGCCGACCUGAGAGGGUGAUCGGCCACACUGGGACUGAGACACGGCCCAGACUCCUACGGGAGGCAGCAGUAGGGAAUCUUCCGCAAUGGACGAAAGUCUGACGGAGCAACGCCGCGUGAGUGAUGAAGGUUUUCGGAUCGUAAAACUCUGUUGUUAGGGAAGAACAAGUACCGUUCGAAUAGGGCGGUACCUUGACGGUACCUAACCAGAAAGCCACGGCUAACUACGUGCCAGCAGCCGCGGUAAUACGUAGGUGGCAAGCGUUGUCCGGAAUUAUUGGGCGUAAAGCGCGCGCAGGCGGUUUCUUAAGUCUGAUGUGAAAGCCCCCGGCUCAACCGGGGAGGGUCAUUGGAAACUGGGGAACUUGAGUGCAGAAGAGGAGAGUGGAAUUCCACGUGUAGCGGUGAAAUGCGUAGAGAUGUGGAGGAACACCAGUGGCGAAGGCGACUCUCUGGUCUGUAACUGACGCUGAGGCGCGAAAGCGUGGGGAGCGAACAGGAUUAGAUACCCUGGUAGUCCACGCCGUAAACGAUGAGUGCUAAGUGUUAGAGGGUUUCCGCCCUUUAGUGCUGCAGCAAACGCAUUAAGCACUCCGCCUGGGGAGUACGGUCGCAAGACUGAAACUCAAAGGAAUUGACGGGGGCCCGCACAAGCGGUGGAGCAUGUGGUUUAAUUCGAAGCAACGCGAAGAACCUUACCAGGUCUUGACAUCCUCUGACAACCCUAGAGAUAGGGCUUCCCCUUCGGGGGCAGAGUGACAGGUGGUGCAUGGUUGUCGUCAGCUCGUGUCGUGAGAUGUUGGGUUAAGUCCCGCAACGAGCGCAACCCUUGAUCUUAGUUGCCAGCAUUCAGUUGGGCACUCUAAGGUGACUGCCGGUGACAAACCGGAGGAAGGUGGGGAUGACGUCAAAUCAUCAUGCCCCUUAUGACCUGGGCUACACACGUGCUACAAUGGGCAGAACAAAGGGCAGCGAAGCCGCGAGGCUAAGCCAAUCCCACAAAUCUGUUCUCAGUUCGGAUCGCAGUCUGCAACUCGACUGCGUGAAGCUGGAAUCGCUAGUAAUCGCGGAUCAGCAUGCCGCGGUGGAAUAC